rnacentral:rRNA from 1 species
GAUGAACGCUGGCGGCGUGCCUAAUACAUGCAAGUCGAGCGAACAGACGAGGAGCUUGCUCCUCUGACGUUAGCGGCGGACGGGUGAGUAACACGUGGAUAACCUACCUAUAAGACUGGGAUAACUUCGGGAAACCGGAGCUAAUACCGGAUAAUAUAUUGAACCGCAUGGUCCAAUAGUGAAAGACGGUUUUGCUGUCACUUAUAGAUGGAUCCGCGCCGCAUUAGCUAGUUGGUAAGGUAACGGCUUACCAAGGCGACGAUGCGUAGCCGACCUGAGAGGGUGAUCGGCCACACUGGAACUGAGACACGGUCCAGACUCCUACGGGAGGCAGCAGUAGGGAAUCUUCCGCAAUGGGCGAAAGCCUGACGGAGCAACGCCGCGUGAGUGAUGAAGGUCUUCGGAUCGUAAAACCCUGUUAUUAGGGAAGAACAAAUGUGUAAGUAACUAUGCACGUCUUGACGGUACCUAAGCAGAAAGCCACGGCUAACUACGU